GAACUCCAGAUCCUGCGCCUUGAGCACAAAGUAGGAAGAAUGGCGAUCCCAUGCGAGAGACCUUUAGGGGUCUGAGACUGAUCCAAGUUGUGCUCAACCCACUGCUAUCUUUCUCCUCACUUGGUUCAGUAUUCCUGGAAUAUUUAGCUGCAUGACAGGAUGAAGAUCCACAACUAAAUACCAUUUAGCAUUGAUGGUUCAGUACCGCGGACAGCAGCACUCAUGUUCGGAAUGGGCCUUACUGAAAUCGCAGAGUGACUUUCUUCUUCCAGGUUCUUAUGUAUCUGCUGAUCAGCUUCAAAAAGAUGGGAAAAGCAAAAUCUCACAUAGGGCAAACUUUUGGAUUUCUCUCUGCAAAGAAAUGCUGAACAUUCCUGUUGUUAUUCCAUUCUAUUGGUCUGGGAUCAAGGCUGACGUGAAGAUUCCUUGAAAAGUAUUAAACUCCUCAAUGG